rnacentral:rRNA from 1 species
CUUUCUUUGCUGGCGACCGGCGCACGGGUGAGUAACACGUAUCCAACCUGCCUUUACUCGGGAGUAGCCUUUCGAAAGAAAGAUUAAUACCCGAUAGUAUAAUGAUUCCGCAUGGUUUCAUUAUUAAAGGAUUCCGGUAAAGGAUGGGGAUGCGUUCCAUUAGGUUGUUGGUGAGGUAACGGCUCACCAAGCCUUCGAUGGAUAGGGGUUCUGAGAGGAAGGUCCCCCACAUUGGAACUGAGACACGGUCCAA